AUAACAGCCAGCCCUCGAUCUUUUUCAGGUGAGUAGCUAUAACUCCAGAUUUCUCACUUGAGGAAGCAUCCAAUUCUUCCAUGGCAUCAAUUUUCUUCCCGACUCUCUAGCUGCAUAAGCAGAAGAUCAACGUCAGGUAGAUAUAAAAAUAUAU